CUUAUAAUUAUUUUGACACGUCUGCGUGUUUUUGCAUGUCACGGUUGUUCAUUCCUCGUGAGUGCUCAGUAGUAUUCCAUCUAUGAAUAUAUCACCAUGUAUGUAGUCGCCAGUUGAUUUAGGCCGCUCCCAGUCUUUCCUUAUUAGGACUAAAGCUGCUAGGAACAUCCCUGUACCUGUUUUCUCUUGGGUAAAUAUCGAAAUGGAAUGGCUUGAUUAUAAGCUCUGAAGAGCCCAGGACUCCAUAAUCUCACUAGGCUAUGACAUCUGCAGUCUUGAAACUCAAGGAGAUCAUGGCCAUUACUAAAAACCCAAUCUCACCAAGAUGUAUAAAGCACAUGAUGUCUCAGCCAAGAACCUACCAUGGUGGAGGAAAAAGAUGUUUCUCUCCUGCAAUGGUUGAUCACCAGUGAUCAUAGUGUAUGUGGGACCGAGGGGCACCGGCUCUGCCUCCCUGGUCGCUGUGACCACCACGUGGAUCCCAUCUGGACAGGACAGUGCUUGGUGAACCAGAAGCGCUUGCAGGAGCGUGAGCUCUGACCCAACCUUUCUUUUCCUAGGUGAGCACACGAGGGCCGUGGAGGCGACAGGCUGGGUGUUGUCGCCAGGCUCCUGGGGGACUAAGAUGAAAGCUCGUCCCUUGCCUUUGCCCCUGCAGUCACCUGCUCACCCAGGAUGCAUCGGACACUCUCUUGGCAUCCAGUACUACGAUGGCUCCUGGGAGAGGGGCACGGGGUUGGUGUGGGGGGACAGGGACAGGUUCUGGCGGAGGCCACAGAGUGCCGAGAUCUGCAUUCCGAAUCAGCAUUUCUAGGGGUUUAUCAAAAACCUGGAGCAAAUCACCUCAUUUCUCUGGGCCUCAGUUUUCCUUCACUGUCAAUGAAGAAGUUUGACCAAGAUGGACCCUAGGAAUCCUUCAAGCUCUAAAACUCUAUUUUUAUAAUAUUAUUAAAUCUCACUGGGGCAACAGCCUCUGUUGCAUUAACUGGGGAUUUGAAACCCUCAUUUGCUCUAGGGAUGCCUUAGUUGCUUUAAGCAUAUUACGACUUGUCGUUUC